rnacentral:rRNA from 1 species
GCUUGGAGUAUAAGCCAAUGGAGCUUGGAAGGCUUCCGCAGAUGGUGUCCAUCAUACGUGGUGUUCUAAGACCUUGAGUGUGGCUCGUCAGACGUAGCAUUGAGUUUGCCGGACAGUUGUCGUGCGGGGGGUUCAGCUUGUCGGACUUUGGCUUCGGCUGAAGGACUCUUCGGGCUGUCCCCUUUUGAAUGGACGUUCAGAACAGCUUGGUCUAAUGCGGUUAUGCCCACCACAGCACGUUGUGAGGUCACCCACAGGCUCAAACUGCCGAUCGCGCAUCCAGGAUGAUGGCAACGAUGCGUUGUUGUUGAUGGCUCCAGAGAGAGACCACUCACACGCGUGUCUAGUCCUGGGUCGGGCGGCGACCGAGAUAAAACCUGGUAUGAUCCUCUUGCGACGAGCUGCUUUCUGGCCAGACCGACGCCCGGGCGCUGCCACUGUGCCGGAAGCGCCAACCCCAGGCGGUGUGAACCCAGCUGCAUUAUGCAAGGUCUCUCAGCCGGGCGUUGGUCUGAGUGGUGUUAAGUCCAGCACCAUCGGUCACGUCUCGAAACACGGGCCAAGGAGUAUAGCAUGUGUGCAAGUCUAAGGGUCUCCCAAAACCCGAAGGCGAAGUGAAAGCAAGACUGAGGCGGGGGAGCUACGGCAAACCCGCCGGCCUAGUGGCGCGUGCGUCGCCUGGCUUUUACAGAGCUGAUCCUGUUUUCUCGGUUAAUUCUUGGUGCAGGCGCAAGCUCCGGGCUCACGUAUAACACUGGUCACGCCUCGCG